CAUCAACAAGUUUGAGAGAGACGAAGAGAGCUGCGGGCAGUAGCAAAGAUGAACAGCAGCGAGAUUGGGAUGAACAGCAGCAAGAAGGAAGAAGAGAUUCAGAUUGGUGGCGUGAGGUGAAGCAAGGGACUCGUGGUAGUUAUGGUGGAUGGGUCACGGUGCAGCGAAUGGAUGGAUGGAGUGCGGAGGUGCGGUGGCGAAGUGGAGCUGGUGGCGCGCUCCACGCCGACCUGGCCGUGGCGGCGGCCUGUGCUGGAGAAGGAGGCAGGGGAAAGAGAGGGAGAUGUGGCCAGGCCCGAAGGGGAUCGAUGGUUGCCGCUAGGGAUUUGAUCCCCCUCCUCUGAUCUGCCACUUUUGCUCUUUUGCCCUUCCACUCUCUUCUUUCUUCACAAGAUGAUCCCUCCAACUUUAGCUUGGCCCCUCUGGUUACUUCUUUUCUUCACGGUCGGGUCCCUCCGUAAAUUACAGUAACCACAGUUUCUUGACCCUCUCCAUUAUAGAAGGAUUUUGGGCCUUUUCACCCUUUUCUGCAAAACAUGGAGGAGUGUUGUAAAUGUAGCAUAAUGGGGGUAUUGGAGUAUUUCUUAAGUAAAUAAUGUGAAAAUAUGAUCACAAUAGGAUGCAAAAAGGCUAAAAAGAUUAUAUGAAGAAAUGCUCUAUCAAGUUCCCCCACACUUAAAUCUUUGCUUGUCCUCAAGCAAAGGCAUAUGACAAGAGCUAGAUAGUGAAUAGUGAGCUGACUAGAGAAUGUCCCAGUGAAGUAGAUCUCCAAACAUUGCAUGCUUUGGACUUAGCUAGUGAAAAUCAAUGGUUAAGAGUGCUACAUAUCAAUAGGACACUAUUAAACUCGGCCAUUUUAAACUUUUGCAAUGAUAAACGAAGAUUAGCAAGUUCAAAUGCUGACUGUGCCAAAAGGUUCCUAAAGAGAGCAUGAUCCUGAGAACAAAAGGAACUUGAAUUAAAUCACUUAUUUGCAGAAAUAUAACAUUGUGGUUGAACCACUUAUUAAAUUUGAAGGAAGUAAUGAUAAUAUUUUAUCAGUCUCACCAAAGGAACACACCACCAAUCCCGAGAACAUGGUAUACACCUGGCUUGACCAAUUAUUAGUUUUUUUAGUUUGUUUGUCUCCCCAAAGGAACAUACCACCGAUCUCGAGAACAUGGUAUACACCUGGUUCGACAAUUACAUUUUUUUAUUAUUAAUUACUGCCCAAGCUAACCCGAUUUCACAUGCCAUCGAUCCCGGGAACAUGACAUGCUACUGUAGGUAGUCAGACUUAUUUAUUCAUUAUUAAUUAUCUUAAAUGAACAACGCUUAAGCACAAAAAUAGGAAUCAUAACUUCUCCAUGUCUGGUUCACAUGCUACCGAUCCAGGGAACAUAGCAUGCUAAUCCAUAGUGGUUAGGUGAUUGCUCUCAAUGGGAACACAUUAGGCACAAACUCAGCAUCUGACACUUAAUGAUCUAGGUGUAUCGAGGUAAAAGCAGAAAAUGAUUAAGUUUUCUAGUGUACUAGGGAUUUGAGCACUCAAAACUAAUAGCUUUCACUAAUUUCAGCAAAGCAAGCAUUGUUGUAGAUCAUUAGUUUACAAGGCAUUCAACACUCACUUCACAUAUUCACAUCAAUCACCCUAUGUCGAAGGUAAAAUUCAAUGGGACGAUAUUGAAGAAAUUGCUCAAGCGACCAAAAUAACAUUUGAUUUCAGCAUGUAUCAAUGGAUGAUAUACUAGGAAUGGGUCAUGAAAUAGCUCACCGGGUUUUUAUAGGAAGUAGCACUCGCUCGAUACUCUCUAAACUGCAACUCUUCUCCUUUGCUUCCUUGUGCAUUGUGACUCCUCUCCUAUUGCUUCCCUAUCCUCAUGCCUGCUCCAGCUUCUCUCUUCAUGUGUGCUCCUUGCUUCUCCUCAUCCCCAUGCCAUGGGUCCACCGGGGUCCCAGGGAAUGUCAUCUCGAACUUGGUCAGCAUGUAGUGAUUCGUGCACAAGCAAGAACCUGAAAGAGCACUCAACAAAAGAGACAAUGCAAGUGGUAGGGAUAAUACCCUCCAAGUCAUCAAUCGAAUAUCCAAUUACAUAAGCAUAGCUAUAAAGCACAUGUUUAGGAUGGUAGAAAUCAGCAAAGUCAACACUAACAUGAGGAUGAUAUUUUUCAUUAAGCUCAAGACUAGCAUAAGAAUGAUAUGUUUCAUUAAGCAUAGGUCUAGCACAAGGAAAGUAACUGUGAUCAUCAUUAAUGUGAGUAAUGCCACUAACAGGGUAUAUAUGAUCAUAUCCAAGCAAAUACUUUUUCAAAUCUACUUUAACAGGUGGCAUCAUGCAAUGCAAGGUAGAAGCAAAGGAAUCAUAAGGACGCAUGUCAUCGAGAGGAUUGGGUAAACCUGACACAUCACGCUCUGGUAUGACAAUAGGCAAAUGAAUCUCAUGUUCUUCAUCUUCAUCUACAACAGCUUCUUUUACUUCUUCAGGAGGGAUAGACAUUGGAUCUUCAACUUGAUCACUUGGGCAUUUGAGCUCUGGAUCAUCUUGUGCCUUGGCUACGAGUACAUCUUCAAUCUGAGGUAUCUCUUCCUAUGGGCUCUCGCUAUCUUGCUCAGCUAAAUGUGAGGAUGUUGGAACCUCACAUGUAUCAAUGGAUAUCUCAGCCACACUCAACUCAAGCUGUGAUGAUAUAGUACUGCCAGUGUUGAUGUUCUUCUCAAUCUUCCUUACUUCUUCCACUAGCUCAUUCCCACUCUUGAUCUUCUUCAUUUCAUCUAGUAUCACCGGCCUAAUUGGAUCAUCUUCAGCACUCCAAGUGAACUCGAGACUAAGCAAUGUGAGCUUCUCUAUAUCAUCAAAUUCAUCUUGUGUGGGCACUUGCACAUGAGAUUGCUCGAAAGGUGCUGGAGUUGUUGGUUGACCAAAUGGAGGACCAUUUAACUCCAUUGGACACAUCUCCUGGUAUUGAGGUAUAUGAGUAGGAGGUGAAUAAAUCUGUUGUGGAGCAUAGUUGUGGUUCUCCUCAUUGUACCUAAAUCCCUGCAAUGGAUAACUAGAGGCAAACGAUGAGAUCUCAGGGUUGUUGCUCCUAUAUGACAUAUUCAGGCUUUCAGGCCACCCAUGUGAGUAAUUAUUUUGGUAUGAGCUAUGCUAUUGAGCGAAGCUCAUGCCAAAACAAUCCGGAGGAUGGGAGUAACCACGCUGACAUUCAGCGGGCGAAUGGCCAUGAAAUCCACAAAUAUGGCAGGUAGGAGCAACAUAAAGAUGGCCUCUAGAAUAAGGAUAAUAAGAGCUAGGCCUAUCCUCAAAAACUACUUCUCGCUGCCGAGCUAAAUCAUCUAAUUGAUGGGAAAUCUUACUUAUCAGUUCUUGAAUACUUUCUGUGUUGUUUGUAGUGUUGCUCGCAUAAGCCUGAUGAUCUGAAUAGUAAGCCAUAACCGAGAAGAUAGUUCUAACCUGCAAAAAGGAAAAGAAAACAAAAAAAAAUACUAACUAGAACAGGGGUUAGUGGUUAGAGAUAUAUCACGAAUAUAUGGCACAAACUAGAAAAAGAAGAAAAACCUAGUCUAUAGCCUAACACGGUCACACGACGCUAGUCCCUGGCAACGACGCCAAAAUGAUCAAUUAUAUUAUAGUGGGGUUUUUACGCCCAAACUACGAGUGUCGUGUUCUCCUCAGGGACUAGGCGACAGCGACUAUACUCGGCUAAAGCUAGGUAACAAAAUUUAGAUGAUGAUUGCAAGGAAAUAUAGACCUAAACUAACCAAAGUUGACGACAAAGAAAAUAACACAGUAGCAAGGAAGGUUCAAAUUAUCUUCAACAAUCUUUUUGGUAUUUUUGUAGUGCUUGAGAAAUUAAGAUACUAACAAAAGCUAUCAUCAAUGACAAGAGAAGUAAAAGGACAUGAACAUAACACACACAUAUAUCUAUAUAUCACAAGAACAAUAACCUGGACACUAAUCAUCAGCAAGUACAGAAUAUAGAUGACAUAUAUAGCUAGUUCUCAUACAUUCUAAAUGAGAGUCACAGUGUGACAGCACAAACUCUCACUGGUCAACAAAACAAGUAAGAACAUCACAUGUCUAUGGACUAAACAAAUAUCAUCAUCUCACAGCAAUAUUUCACAGGAAUUACACACACACACACAUUUAUAUAACACUUGUACUAGAGUUAACAAAUGGACUAUAAAAUGGAACAAAUUAGAUGAACACACACAUACACAAAUACGAAUAUGAUACUACAGGACACUGUUCUAAUACUCUCGGGUGAACAAAAUAAGUACUACUAAUCAAGCACAAAUCUGAAACUGAACAAGUUUCAAGCACUACUCAAAUCUGAACAUUACAAGGCAUUACACAUCUCAGCUUACAGAAAUUCAGAGAGUAUAGAGAGGGAAAAAGAGAGAUAGCAGCAGUUUCUGGUUCAGAUUAGGAGCAGCAGCAUGAGGGGUUCAGAGGAGCAGCAGCAUGAGCGCAAGAAGAUUAGCAGCAGAGGUACAAAAAGAAGGAGCAACGACGAGGAAAGGGAGUAGCGGUAGCAUGGGGGCUUGGAGAAGGAGCAGCAGGAGGUUGAGGGCAUCGGCAUCAACAAGUUUGAGAGAGAUGAAGAGAGCUGCGGGCAGUAGCAAAGAUGAACAACAGCGAGAUUGGGAUGAACAGCAGCAAGAAGGAAGAAGAGAUUCAGAUUGGUGGCGUGAGGUGCAGCAAGGGACUCGUGGUAGUUAUGGUGGAUGGGUCGCGGUGCAGUGAAUAUAUGGAUGGAGUGCGGAGGUGCGGAGGUGCGGCGGCGAAGUGGAGCUGGUGGCGCGCCCCACGCCAGCCUGGCCGUGGCGGCGGCCUGUGCUGGAGAAGGAGGCAGGGGAAAGAGAGGGAGAUGUG
rnacentral:lncRNA from 1 species